rnacentral:snRNA from 1 species
CAAUCAGUCUAUCGACAAAAUCA